rnacentral:rRNA from 1 species
UUGGAGGGCAAGUCUGGUGCCAGCAGCCGCGGUAAUUCCAGCUCCAAUAGCGUAUAUUAAAGUUGUUGCAGUUAAAAAGCUCAUAGUUGAAUUUCGGGAUUGACACGUCGGUCGUGCCUUAAGGGGUAUGAACUGGUGUAGUCAAUUUCUCACCUUCUGGAGAACCAUGAUGCCCUUAAUUGGGUGUCGCGGGGAACCAGGACCUUUACUUUGAAAAAAUUAGAGUGUUUAAAGCAGGCAUUUUGCUUGAAUACAUUAGCAUGGAAUAAUAAAAUAGGAUGGCAUGAUUCUAUUUUGUUGGUUUCUAGGAUCACCGUAAUGAUUAAUAGGGAUAGUUGGGGGCAUUAGUAUUCAAUUGUCAGAGGUGAAAUUCUUGGAUUUAUUGAAGACUAACUACUGCGAAAGCAUUUGCCAAGGAUGUUUUCAUUAAUCAAGAACGAAAGUUAGGGGAUCGAAGACGAUCAGAUACCGUCGUAGUCUUAACCAUAAACUAUGCCGACUAGGGAUCGGAUGAUGUUAAUUUUUUAAUGACUCAUUCGGCGCCUUACGGGAAACAAAGUGUNUGGGU